rnacentral:lncRNA from 1 species
ACUUCUCUUUUUUUGGUAGGGCUGAGUGACUAUUUCCAGCCAGUGAGUUUUGAUGGUAGCUUCCAAGCUGGAGCAUUAAAUUGCUAAUGCAAGACUCUCUGGAGCCCUUUUCCUCUGCCACAAUGUGUGACAGUGUUCAGCAUUGUGACUACUCUAUCAGCCUCCUUUCCAGACUAAGAAGACUUGGAGUAAAGACCCAAGAUGAAAUGAGAGUGAAAUGAAUGAAGAAAAGACAGAUGAAAAGCAUAAAUAUUUUCAACAAUGAGAAUUGAAAAAUUAAAGCUAUCUUCUCUUCUUUAGGACUCAAUUAACCAGAGCCCUUCUCCUCCAAACAUGUCACUUAAUGAGACUGUUACUACAAUAAUUACACUUAAACAUAGGCAUCGUGAGAAAAAUGAAAAUUAUGUUCAGAUGGGGACAUGGAAGAAUGAGAAGACUGAACCAAAUCAAUACCUGUUGACUUUUAAGAAACAGAGAAAACAAUUAAGGUAACCAAUUUGCCAAAUAGAGGCACCUUGAUACCUUCAUCUGAGAGCAACCAAAAAGACAAAGAGAACUGAAAAGUGAAUAAAGGGAGAAAGUAUCUACAUUACACAGGUUCAUGUAGAGGGCACUCUCUUAAUUACAACUUUCUGAGACAUUUCACCUGACUCUCAGGUCUUUGUAUUUCCAGUCACUUUUUAAAUGUUUUUGUUUUGGUUUUUGUUUUGUCCCCAGAGCACAAGAAAGGAAAUCUCUGGGACACCUGAGGAGACAUUUCAGAGGAGAAAGAGAAUCAAUUUCCAAGUAAUUUGGAAUGGAAGCAAGUCUGGCCGCAUUCUUUAUCUGGGAGCUCCUCUAAAAUCCUCCCACCACCACCAGGGUUUGAUGGUUAGGAGACUUAGCAACAGAAAGAGUAAAAAGAGAAAAUAAGCAGCGAAGCCUGUGCUUCCAUCUCCCCAGGGCAUGCCGAAAUAUUCACUCCUAGUUCUUCUUCAGGUGUCUCCUGAUGCCUAUGGUUUUGAUAUUGCUAUUUUGUCAUCAUUGUUUAAUUUCGGAUCCUGGUUUGCAAACUUGCAUCUUUCUGAAGACCAGUAAUGAUUUCUACGUUUCAACGAGCUAUUAAGUGUGUAUGUGGGGGGCAAGUGGAAUUGCUGCUGAAUGCAUAAAUUGAUUUGCACCUACAAUUUGCAUUUAUUCUGUGGGUAUAUUUGCCACUAAUGUUGUGACUGAACUGCCAUAAUGAAGAUUAAUUAUAUAAACAUUUUUUGCUGACUUUGUGAGCAGCUGAGUUGGUUGUUUUGCUUGAUUUUCCAAGCUUGGUGCUUAAGAGUAUGAUAGGAAACAUUUCUUGGAUUUGCUCAGCACCUUCAUAGAUGACGUGCCCCAGACCAGUCUUAUCUAAUAAACAUUUGUGGUGAGCUUUUCACUGGCUACACUGUUUCUGCUUACUUGAUUACAAAAGAAGAAGUAGAAGACCACUCAGUUCUUGGAAUUUUGCAAACAUUUGAAUUUUGGCAGGAUUCCCCAGAAUAAAAUAAGAAUUGUGCUUCUUAUGUGGGCAUGAAUUGUACUCUACACAAAAGAAAGGACAAUUUGUUCAGUUUUCCUCACUCAACCAAUAUUGGCCUAGACCUUCCAAACACUUGGAACUGGAGAAGGUUAGGCUCUCAGAGGCUCUAUUUUCUUCUUUGUAAAAUGG